rnacentral:rRNA from 1 species
UACGAAGGGGGCUAGCGUUGCUCGGAAUCACUGGGCGUAAAGCGCACGUAGGCGGAUCGCUAAGUCAGGGGUGAAAUCCUGGAGCUCAACUCCAGAACUGCCUUUGAUACUGGCGACCUUGAGUCCGGGAGAGGUGAGUGGAACUGCGAGUGUAGGGGUGAAAUCCGUAAAUAUACGAAGGAACGCCAAAAGCGAAGGCAGCUCUCUGGGUCCCUACCGACGCUGGGGUGCGAAAGCAUGGGGAGCGAACAGG